UACGUAGGGGGCAAGCGUUGUCCGGAUUUAUUGGGCGUAAAGAGCUCGUAGGCGGUUCCGUAAGUCGUGAAGUCAAAUCUCUGGGCUCAACCCAGAAUCGCUUCCGAUACUGCGGUGACUGGAGUCCGGUAGGGGAGUGUGGAAUUCCUGGUGUAGCGGUGAAAUGCGCAGAUAUCAGGAGGAACACCGAUGGCGAAGGCAGAUCUCUGGGCAGUAACUGACGCUGAGGAGCGAAAGCGUGGGGAGCGAACAGG
rnacentral:rRNA from 1 species